AGUGGAUUGGAGAAAGCAGAGGAGAGGAAGGCAGGGGAGCGCGGGAUCUCGCUCCAACCUGCGCCACACGAUGGCUCCAACCCCCAGCCCACCAUAUCCCACCCUCCCGCCACAACUUCUCUCCGCUGACUCACCACCACUUGCCGCCCACCGGACCGGAGCAAGGGACCGACCAUGGCCACCGAGGUGGUGGCGCUCUCGCCGGCCUCCCGCCUGCCGUCCCUCUCCUCCAGGCCUAACGCUCUAGCCGCCUCCUCCUCCCGGUCCCGAGCACCUCGCGGCGCCCGUGCCCCCAGUUCACCGCUGGCGCUCACCACCUCCACGGGGCACCGGCGCAAAGCGCUCCUCCUCCUCCGGCCCCGCGCCACCGAGCAGCAAGGGCAGGUGCAGCAGCAGGACGAGGAGGUGGUGGACGGCAACGUGCUCCCCUACUGUAGCAUCGACGGCAAGAAGAAGAAGACCAUCGGGGAGAUGGAGCAGGAGUUCCUACGAGCCCUGCAGUCCUUCUACUACGACCAGAAGGCCAUCAUGUCCAACGAGGAGUUCGACAACCUCAAGGAGGAGCUCAUGUGGGAAGGCAGCAGCGUCGUCAUGCUAAGCGCCGAUGAGCAGAGGCUGCUGGAAGCCUCCAUUGCCUACAUCGCCGGCAACCCCAUCAUGUCAGAUGCGGAGUUCGACGAGCUCAAGCUUAGACUCAAGCAAGAUGGAAGCGACAUCGUGACGGAAGGCCCCAGGUGCAGUCUACGGAGUCGGAAGGUUUACAGCGAUCUGACCGUUGACUACUUGAAGAUGUUCCUGCUCAAUGUUCCAGCAACUAUUGUUGCUCUAGGACUGUUCUUUUUCAUCGAUGAGCUGACUGGCUUUGAGGUCAAUGUAUUCCAGUUUCCGGAGCCCUUUGGCUUCAUAUUCACGUAUUUUGCCGCUUUGCCUCUGAUAUUGGUAACGGCGCAAGUGGUAACCAAGGCCAUAAUAAAUGAUGUCUUAAUCCUGAAGGGGCCGUGUCCGAAUUGCGGCACUGAAAAUCUUUCCUUCUACGGGACGAUACUGUCGAUCGAGAGUGGUGGAGCAACAAACAAUGUGAAGUGCGCAAAUUGCAAAACAGUGAUGGUAUACGACUCAAAAACUCGGCUGAUCACACUUCCAGAUUCAUGAAGAGGAUAAUUAUAGUGGCACUUCAUUAACAGGGAGGAGCAACGAGAUGCAGAGUUUGCCAUUCAUGCUUGGUAAUUAAGUGAGCAAAUGGAAUUGUCAAGUCUGCAACAAACUGCUAGCUGCUUCUGUGUUGUAGUAUGAUUUUCUGUAGAUAUCUACUUGCAAUUGUACCAGAUUGGCACGAAUGAAGCUGCACAAUGUAUAGAAGACCAAGAUGGUUGUGAGCCUAUGACAUUAAACCGAUCGAUGCAUAUAUGUACUCCUUGCCAAUCGUCAUGCGCCAUGAUAAAAAGGAAAAAGAGAAAUAAGUGAUUGCAAGGCCCAGUACAUUGGCCACUGGACCAUGGGACC
rnacentral:rRNA from 1 species